rnacentral:rRNA from 1 species
CAGUAGCCACGGUAAUACGGAGGGGGCUAGCGUUGUUCGGAAUUACUGGGCGUAAAGCGAGCGCAGGCGGUUAUAUAAGACAGAUGUGAAAUCCCCGGGCUCAACCUGGGACCUGCAUUUGUGACUGUAUAGCUAGAGUACGGUAGAGGGGGAUGGAAUUCCGCGUGUAGCAGUGAAAUGCGUAGAUAUGCGGAGGAACACCAGUGGCGAAGGCGACUCUCUGGUCUGUAACUGACGCUGAGGAGCGAAAGCGUGGGGAGCGAACAGGAUUAGAUACCCCAGUAGUCCCUGUCUCUUAUAC